AACACACACACACACACACAAACACACACACAUUCACACACAUGGAUUAUUGGACUAAAGUGAUGAAAAUCUCUGUAUUGAUACAUUUUCUUUACACAUCUUCAUUUGGGUUUCUAAAAGAUCAUAUAUUUCUCAAAGCAGUUUUAAUGAGUUCUGAUGACCUGUGACCUCUGAAAUGACCUUUGCCCUCACACUGAGUUCACAGGGACAUACUUGUUUCUCUGAAUGUUUCAGCUCUGUCACUGAAUCAAGAGAAAACCUGCAGUCUGAACCAGAGACUCACACAGAAUGAAAAAGACAUGAUUUCCAGAUUUGUAAAGAAGUGAGAACUCACAGCACUGGAUCAUGAGACUAAAACAGGUUUAGAGGCUCAGGUUUCAUCUGCAUGUGGGGAUGUUCAUGUCUGUUUUCCUCCAGGAGGGUUUUUCCACAGAGAGUCACUUUGCAUCAGCACAUGCUUCAGCGCUCCGAGUGUUUAUAGCGUUCAGACUCAACACUUUAUAACACACUGCUGUUUACCGCGGUACAAAACCAACAAACACAAUGAAUCUCUUCAGCAGCUUCAUCUGGAUUCUGGCAGCUUUUAUUCCAGCAGCAUCCAGAGGAAUCACUGUGACUCAGCCUGAAGCUGUGACUGUUUCUGAACGACAAGACGCCACGAUAGCGUGUAAAACUGAUCCUGGAAUAACUAACUGGGGUUUAGCUUGGUAUCAGCAGAAACCUGGAGAAGCUCCUAAACUCAUCAUUACUGGAGUAAAUGAUCUCUAUGAUGAGAGUUUCAGUCGAUUCAGUGGGAAUGGAGCACGAGGUGGGACUGAUUUCACUCUGACCAUCAGUGGAGUCCAGACUGAAGAUGCUGGACAUUAUUACUGUCAGAGUUACCACAGUGGUGGUGUGUUCACACAGUGAUAAAGCGUGGUACAAAAA